GACGAACUGUCCUAACGUUGUUCGGAAUCACUGGGCUUAAAGGGCGCGUAGGCGGUCGAUCAAGUCAGGGGUGAAAUCCUACAGCUUAACUGUAGAAGUGCCUUUGAUACUGGUUGUCUUGAGGGAGGUAGGGGUGUGUGGAACUCACAGUGGAGCGGUGAAAUGCCUUGAUAUUGUGAGGAACGCCGGAGGCGAAAGCGACGCACUGGACCUCUUCUGACGCUGAGGCGCGAAAGCUAGGGGAGCAAACGGG
rnacentral:rRNA from 1 species